AUUCCCUACUCCUACGGGAGGCAGCAGUAGGGAAUCUUCGGCAAUGGGCGAAAGCCUGACCGAGCAACGCCGCGUGAGCGAUGAAGGCCUUCGGGUCGUAAAGCUCUGUUGUUAGAGAAGAACAAGUACGAGAGUAACUGCUCGUACCUUGACGGUACCUAACCAGAAAGCCCCGGCUAACUCCGUGCCAGCAGCCGCGGUAAUA
rnacentral:rRNA from 1 species